GUUUCUGAUCAUUUAAGAAAGUGAAUAUUUGGGGUGCCUGGAUGGCUCAGUCAGUUGAGUGUCUGCCUUUGGCUCAGGUCAUGAUCUCACAGUCCUGGGACUGAGCCCCAUGUUAGGCUCUUUGCUCAGUGGGGAGUCUGCUCCUCCCUCCCCCAUCAUGCCUUCUCUCCCUAUCUUUCUCUUUCUCAAAUAAAUGAAUAAAAUCUUAAAAAAAAAUAAAGUGAAUAUUUGGGUCCCAGAUCCAUUUAAGCUCUAGCCUAUAGUCAGACCUUUUCAGGAAGAUUUUUCUCCACCCAGAACCAAGGAAUAAGACAAGCACAGCAUUCCCCUUUGAGUGGAGGAUUGUUUUAUAAUUUACCUUUUUGUAGUCCUUGAUCCAAUGUCCUAUGCUGUGAGUGGCCCAGACUUUGUCUCCUACUUUCUCUCUCUCUCUUUUUUUUGGGGGGGUUGCGUUAUGUGCUUCACAAAUACUGCAUUUUUUACAAACUGAAGUUUUGUGGCAACCCUAUGUCAAGCAAGUCUAUCAGCACCAUUUUUCUUUCUUCCUUCCUUCCUUUUUUUUUUCCCAAAAAGAUCACCAAACCCCGGGGAUCAUGACCCCAGCUGAAAGCAGACUCCCAACUGACUGAACCGCUCAGGUGCCUCCCAGAUUUUCCUUGUUUUAAUGACGCCAACAGUUUUGAGGAUUAUUAGUCAGGUAUAUUGAGGAAAGUCAUUCUAUUGGAAUCUGUUAGAUGUUUUUCUCAUGAUUAGAUUGGGAUUAUGGGUUUUGGGUAGAAGAUCACAGAAGUAAAGUGCCAUUUUCAUCACAUCGUUCCAAAGGUAUUUACUAUCAUCUUGAUGUUGACCUUGAUUACCUGGCUGAGGUAGGGUUUGUCAAGUUUUUGUUUCUGUUCCACCCCCCCCUUCCUUUCCAUGCUCUCCUCUUUGGAAGAAAGUCACUAUGCAUGACCAUACUUUAGGAGUGAGGAAUUAUGCUCCCCCUCUUAGGGUUAUGUUUUAACAAGCAAAAUAACCCACACGACAGGUAUCUUAGCUCUUUGCAUCAAUGGUCAUGCCUUGAGCUUUUAGCAGCUGAUCUUAAGUGGAAACAUAUUCUGCACUGGCCACCCUCUCUCUUGGAGCCUCACUUUCCUCAUUUGUGAAGUUAGGGUUAUUGAUCCUUCGCCCCUAGAACUGUAGAGAGUAGAAAGUCUCCUGCUGUCAGUGUCAAUUCCCUCUGCCUCCGGCUUUUGGCUAUCUGGGAGCCCCCUCCCAGAGAGGGUCAGUGAUGACCUAAGGUCUUACAGCAUGCUUGGCAGAGCCAAAGUCAACCCCGGGCUCUAACCACACCCUGGGUCCACUUUGCCCCACCCGGGGGCGUGGAGCAAAGGUGUACUUCCGCCAGCCAGCCGUAGGUACCUCACACGUGGCGAGUCUGGGUGCCCAGCCACCUGCAGGACCAGAAUGAUGAGUCUGAGCUCGGGAUCCCGCUCUCUGCGGUCCAACCAGGCCUCCCCCUCCACUGGCCCGUCAGGGGUCUGCUGGCAGCACUCAGUGUUCCCCAAAUGCAACCUGACUCUCAGUCCGUUCUCAUGUCUCCCUCGCACUGGCCUGUGGGCAUCUCCAGGGAUCUCCUGUCCUAGAGCUUAACGUGGGAGGCGAAUUGUACACCACCACCGUGGGCACCCUGAGAAAGCUCCCGGGUUCAAAGCUGGCAGAGAUGUUCUCCAGCUCCGCUAAGGCCUACACGGAUGCAGAGGGCCG